rnacentral:rRNA from 1 species
GACCGGCAGCGCACUUAACUGAACCUUCGGGGAACGUUAAGGGCGGCGAGCGGCGGACGGGUGAGUAAUGCCUGGGAAUAUGCCCUGAUGUGGGGGAUAACUAUUGGAAACGAUAGCUAAUACCGCAUAAUCUCUUCGGAGCAAAGAGGGGGACCUUCGGGCCUCUCGCGUCAGGAUUAGCCCAGGUGGGAUUAGCUUGUUGGUGAGGUAAUGGCUCACCAAGGCAACGAUCCCUAUCUGGUCUGAGAGGAUGAUCAGCCACACUGGAACUGACACACAGUCCACACUAAUACGGGAGGCAGCAGUGGGGAAUAUUGCACAAUGGGGGAAACCCUGAUGCAGCCAUGCCGCGUGUGUGAAGAAGGCCUUCGGGUUGUAAAGCACUUUCAGUAGGGAGGAAGGUAGUGUAGUUAACACCUGCAUUAUUUGACGUUACCUACAGAAGAAGCACCGGCUAACUCCGUGCCAGCAGCCGCGGUAAUACGGAGGGUGCGAGCGUUAAUCGGAAUUACUGGGCGUAAAGCGCAUGCACGCGGCCUGUUAAGUCAGAUGUGAAAGCCCGGGGCUUAACCUCGGAAUUGCAUUUGAAACUGGCAAGCUACAGUCUUGUAGAGGGGGGUGGAAUUUCCUGUGUAG